rnacentral:rRNA from 1 species
CGAACGGGUGAGGAACACGUGAGAAACCUGCCUUUCAUUCUGGGAUAACACCGGGAAACCGGUGCUAAUACCGGAUACUCCGUCUUGGCGGCAUCGCCGAGCCGGGAAAAAAUUUUGAUGAAAGAUGGUCUCGCGGCCUAUCAGCUAGUUGGUGAGGUAAUGGCUCACCAAGGCGACGACGGGUAGCCGGCCUGAGAGGGCGACCGGCCACACUGGGACUGAGACACGGCCCAGACUCCUACGGGAGGCAGCAGUAGGGAAUAUUGGGCAAUGGGCGCAAGCCUGACCCAGCGACGCCGCGUGAGGGAUGAAGGUCUUCGGAUUGUAAACCUCUUUCAGUAGGGAAGAAGCGAAAGUGACGGUACCUAAAGAAGAAGCACCGGCUAACUAUGUGCCAGCAGCCGCGGUAAUACAUAGGGUGCAAGCGUUGUCCGGAAUUAUUGGGCGUAAAGAGCUCGUAGGUCGUUUGUCGCGUCGAUUGUGAAAAUCUGAGGCUCAACCUCAGACCUGCAGUCGAUACGGGCAAACUAGAGUGUGGUAGGGGAGACUGGAAUUCCUGGUGUAGCGGUGGAAUGCGCAGAUAUCAGGAGGAACACCAAUGGCGAAGGCAGGUCUCUGGGCCAUAACUGACACUGAGGAGCGAAAGUGCGGGGAGCGAACAGGAUUAGAUACCCUGGUAGUCCGCACCGUAAACGGUGGGCACUAGUUGUGGGAACCUUCCACGGUUUCCGCGACGCAGCAAACGCAUUAAGUGCCCCGCCUGGGGAGUACGAUCGCAAGAUUAAAACUCAAAGGAAUUGACGGGGCCCCGCACAAGCAGCGGAGCAUGCGGCUUAAUUCGACGCAACGCGAAGAACCUUACCAAGGCUUGACAUAUAGCGAAAAGUGGCAGAGAUGUCAUGUCCGCAAGGGCGCUAUACAGGUGGUGCAUGGUUGUCGUCAGCUCGUGUCGUGAGAUGUUGGGUUAAGUCCCGCAACGAGCGCAACCCUCGUUCUGUGUUACCAGCAUUUAGUUGGGGACUCACAGGAGACUGCCGGGGUCAACUCGGAGGAAGGUGGGGAUGACGUCAAAUCAUCAUGCCCCUUAUGUCUUGGGCUGCACGCAUGCUACAAUGGCCGGUACA